UGCCCAGCAACUCCUAUCCCUACCUCCUCGUGGUACCGGCCGGAAACUACGAGCAACCUUAGGGAAGAUCGGGUAACCAACCCCGGUGGGAACUUUGGUCGUAGGCUGACAGGGAAGG
rnacentral:ribozyme from 1 species